UACGAAGGGGGCAAGCGUUGUUCGGAAUGACUGGGCGUAAAGGGCGCGUAGGCGGUGCGUUGCGUCAGGUGUGAAAUCCCCGGGCUCAACCUGGGAACUGCACUUGAUACGGGCGUGCUUGAAUCCGCGAGAGGUUGGUGGAAUUCCCAGUGUAGAGGUGAAAUUCGUAGAUAUUGGGAAGAACACCAGUGGCGAAGGCGGCCAACUGGCGCGGUAUUGACGCUGAGGCGCGAAAGCGUGGGGAGCAAACAGG
rnacentral:rRNA from 1 species